AUGAUCCCAAAAUGUACGGGUAAGCUGACCAAGCUUACGAGAGCUGUGUUUCUUUCAGUGUACCAAUUUUGUGAGAGCAAACUAGACCGCGAAUUUGUUUAAAUACAUGCAAAGUCGGGAAAAGUUGAAAAGUCAUACCCUAAGAAAUCUUUAGAAGGCCAUAUCUCGAGAACGGAUCCAUAGAUUUUCGAGUUUGAGCUAUCGUUGGAAAGGUCUUAACCUCAACUAUAAUAUAUUAAAAUAUGAAGUAAAUCGAUAAUGGCAUUUUCGAAAUAUUCGAGUUCGAAAUUUUCGAAAAUAUUGAUUUUGACUUUAGCGCCUCUCGCGGUCAUUUCUCGAACUUGAAAUGUUCUAGACAUUUGUAGGGCUUCACGAAACCUUUCAUUUGCACUUGAGUUGAUCAAAAUCGGACUUGUAGAACCCGAGAUAUGACAUGCCAACUUUGGAAGGCUAUAUCUUGAGAACGGCGACAUAGAUUUUCUUAAUUUUUGGCAUGGAGCUAGAUAAUAUGGUCAGCUAUAACAUAUCAAAAAAUGAAGCAAAUCGAUAAUGGCGUUUUCGAGAUAUUCAUCGAAAACUCAUCGAAAACUUUGUUUUUGAUUUUUGGCCCCCUAGCGGUCACUUUUGAAACUUCGUAUGUUCUAGAGAGUUGUAGGGUUUGUUGAGAGCUUUCAUUUGAGCCCGGGUUGAUCAAAAUCGGUCAAGCCGUUUUCGAGUUAUGGUCGAUUUUCGAUGAAAAAUUGUGGCGGCCAUAUUGACUAAACGGCUUGACCGAUUUUCGAAAAUGAGGUAUCGUUGGAAAGCUCUUGAUGGCCCCUACAACAUAUCAAAAUUUCAGCCCUCUAGCUAUAAUAGCGGCUGAGAUAUAGCGAAAACAAAAUUUUGAGGUUAUUCAAAAUGGCGGACGGAGGAGUGGGGGGGUGAAUUUGACCUCAUAAUCGGAUGUCUUCCAGUCGAUAUUUAAACUUUGCCGUUUACCGCAAGUCUCUAUCUAUCACCGUUCUCUCGCAAUUUAGCGUUAUACUACGGACGGCCGGACGGCCGGACGGCCGGCCGGAAAAAAACUUAUUUUUGGCGCAUACGUUUUUUGGAAUGUGGGGACCCUAAUUCGUGCUCAUACCAAGUUUGAGCCCGAUCUGACGACUUUCAAUUUUGCUCGGUACACAAAAGCUGUGUCUGAAAGAAACACAGCUAAAACCAUAAAGAAAAACAAUUUUCCUAUUUUUUUUUUAAGGAUUUAACCCUUUUUAUGACGAAAAUUAUUUCUAGGUUUAAAAUUUUGAAAAUGGUAUUUUCAAACGUUUUAAAAAGUAUGUCUGGAUGAAUGUAAAACAUUAGAAUACACAUCAAAGAUAAAAAAAUCAAACAACGUUAGAACGAUCGAUAAACGAUAAUAAAAACCAAAUUUAAUAGAGAAGUGAUAAACUUUCGAAAGGGAACGUUAAAUGUUGGAACUGGAACAUCAAAAAUUACCCUAAACAAUCAUUCUGCAAAGAAUAACAAUAUUUCUUCAAUUCAAUUCAAUCGUUAGAAAGAAAAUGUCAAAUAAAAAGAUAUUACUCGUUAUGAAGAAAUGUUGAAAUUAAAAACAAAGUCAAGCGUAAGAAAAUGAACUUCAAAUGCUAAAAAAAAUAACGAUAAUCUGUACAAGUAUAAGAGAUUAUAAAAAAAAACACGUCACACGUUAGAGUCUCUAAUAUUAGACAAGAAAUGUCAAAUGAUACAAAAUGAGUGUCAUCAAACAUUAUGAAAAAAAAAUUCUAACGUAAAAAAAAUUAACGGCAAAGAGAUGUUCCAAAGACACGUCCAGUACAAAUAUAAAAACCAAACGUUAGAACAAUAAACGUCAAGUAUUUGAAAAUAAAAACUUUAAACGUUCGAUCAGAAAGAACUAACGGUAGAAAAGAAAUAUCAAAUGUUGAAAAAUAAAUCUUCUAACGUAAAGAAAUAGUGAUUUUUUUUUAUUAAGAAACGUUUAAGAUUAAACGGCAAAUGUUAACAAUGAAAUGUCAAACAUUUAAAAAAAAUCGUCAAUCGUUAGAACAGAAAAGGAGUAGGGGUGGAUGGGGUAAUUUGGCCACUUUGGCGGUUUUUGGGAUAUAUCAAGCAAGUGUGGUAGUACGAAGCAAAACAAAUAGCCAUCUCGAUGAGAAAUGGGUGAAUUUUCCAUUCUCCAGGACCCUUAGCUUAGUGGCCAAAUUACCCCGAGCACGGGUAAUUUGGACACUUUGGCGCACAAAUUAUUAAACAUGAAAAUUUUUGAACAAUAAAAAAAUUUUAUUUUUUCGAUUAUUUUUUUGGAAGAUAGGUUAUUUAUCUAAGAUUCAUUUCCAGUAAUUUGCCAGAUAAAAAUAUUUAACAGAGCCUCAAACUUUAACAUUUUCUGAACCGUAAACGGGCAAAGUCUAAAAAAGUCUAUUUUUCAAAUUAUCGUAAUUUUCUCUUUUUAGCCAAAAUUUUUGGUCAUACUUUGCUUAUAAUCUGUAAGAAAACAUUAAAAGGCACAACCAUAAUUAAUAUCUUAAAUGUGGUCGGAAAAUUCUGCCGGAAAAACUCAAGUGGCCAAAUUACCCCACUCCAAUUUUCCGGAUAAAACCAUUUCAACAGGAAAAUCUGUUUGAAAUAUCUGGAAAUGGAUGACACUAACGUGUUUAUGAUGGAUCAAUGACCCUUAAUGGCUUAAAAGUUAAUUUUUAAGCUUAAAAAAAUUUAUCGAAAAUGACGAACUCUCAAAAUGCCAAAGGCACUUUAAAAAGUGAAAAAAUGAUUUUUCUCAAAUAAAAGAAAAUCUAAUGAUCGGAUCUUCCUCAAACUUGGUACGAUUGAUUAUCUCUAUGGGGAGUAUAAACUGUAGAGAAAUGGAUUUUCUAGCUUUUACUAUACUUGAGAUAUUCCCAUUAAUGACUUUGCCAAAGUGGCCAAAUUACCCCGUCUUCCCCUACCUAUCAAACGUUUUAAAAAGCUUCUAACGUUAGAAAAAAAAUCAUUCAAUUUAGCAAAGAAACGUCACAAACUCAAAACCUUGGAGAUCUUAAAAUCUUGAUCAUAAAUCAACCAAAAGCCCUAAAAACUUUUUUAGAAAAUCUCAAUUUCAUGAAGUGAAAAAAAAAUCAAAAUUCCGAAUCAGGACGAAAUUUAUUGAAAUUUUCAAUUUAAAAGUCUCGUUACAAUGAUAUCGUCCAUAGAGAGAGACCCUCACAUUGACCUGGAAAAUCUCCGACUAUUCUUCUUAUCACUUCUGCCUCUCACAUGGAACACUUGAUGUACAAAAAUGUUGACAAAAUUCUCUGCUGGGUGAUCUUCGCGCCAAACCUGAUAUGGAGUGCUGUGGUGGCCUCCCCCAAAGACUUUUGCGCCAAAAGUCGUUGAGCGAUCGUCACCGUAAGAUCUUCGCGUGCUUUCCUCACUUUUUGGGAGUUUGCAUGAAAUUCACGCGGGUACUCCACAUUUUCCUGGUUUGCAAUUAUAUCCUGAAAAUGGAGUUUCCCUGUAUAGCCCGUCAGUGUUUAAUUGACAAACCCACUCCACCGGAAGGCCAUGUGGCUGCCUUCCGGGAAAUGGGGCGCUUCUAUGACUCCCUCGUGUGCUGGAGUAAGCAAAAAUGGAGGAUCUUCGGUGACGGGCGGAGUCUCAAAGUUGCCCGAAGUCGUGAAUUGCUGCCAAAUGUUGUUGUCCUCAUCUGCCUUCAUUUUGAGCGAAAAACAUCCCAAAUGUGAUCACAAAUACGUGCCAGGGUAGCCUUGGACCAAGGUCGUGUGGCCCUACGCAAUUCCGCGUGGAGAAAUAUUUUUUUUUGUACCGCCGCGCGUAUGCAAAUGUGAGCCCUUCGCUGCUGCUGCUGCUGAAACAAAUUCAUCACGCAAUGAUCAGACUCUGUUGCUUCUUUAUACAGAACUUUUGCUUCUUUAAUCAUCAACUAUUUUUUUUGUGACUUAUUUACAGUGAUUGUUUUUUUUUAAUAUAAUUUGUAUAUAAUAUAUAUAAUUUCCCUAAGCUUACGCUCAUUUAUUGUUUUCACUAAAUAAAUAUAUCAUAUAAGACGCA